CCAACAUCAACAGAAGAUCCACCAAGAGAUGUAUUAAGUCAUUGCAUAAUCUCAUGAUUAAGAGAUAACAUUGUAAAAGCUAUAAAAGAAGUCUCAUUAGCAGACCCAUAUAAAAAAAUACACAUUUUUCCAGAUCUAUCUUUCUAUACCAGAUCUAAAAGACGUACAUUUGCAUCCCAUACAGCAAUCCUUAGAAAACAAUGAUAUUAAGUAUAGAUGGG